UAUAGAACGAAAUUUGAUAUGAACUAUCGCUUUCUCUCAAUUUCAGUCACAAAGAGAAGGAAGGGCGAUUCGCCAUCGAGCAUCUCGCAACCUAAUUUUCAACCAAACAUGAAACCCAUGUUUUUCAAUUUUCAAGUAACCCUGAAAUCGAACUAGAUCUAAUUCAUAUGCUGUUCAAGAGAGCUCCUUUUAUCCAUCAGAGAGAUGUUGGAACAGGAAAGGUCGGUUGAGAACCCUAAAUCGUGGAAUAUGGGUUUAGCUUUUGCAAAUUUGUUAAAUAUCGAUUGGUAAGUACCGAAGGUUUGUUUGAACACUUGUUUUUGUUAGGAAACUUAGUAUGAAAUUUUCAGCCCUGUACAAGGAUUUUUUCUUAGUUUAAUAGAUGAGUUUUAUAUUAUCAACUAAUUGGAAAUCAUUGUUGGUUAUAAUUUUUAAGUUAUUAUUAUUAUGAAAAUAGAUAGACUUAUUAUACAUGACGUUUCGAAUUCCUCUACACAUACAUUACUUUUUUAAACUUAAUGUUCAACGUUUUUUUUGUCAAAAUCACAUUUCUCUUUUGCAAACGGGAAUUUCAAGGCUGUGCUUUCAUAAAUCUUAACAUGUCAGAUGUCUGAGUUUGUUCAGGCUAUAUUAGAUUGCUCUCGCUGUGCUGGAUUGCAGGUAUUUUCUGCUUCUUCAGAUGACGAACAUUGAGUUUAUAUUGCCCCUUGUCUGUUAUUUAUAGAAAUUGUGGAUCUUUAUGAUUUCAAUGAGUGAAUUCAAAUAUUGGAUAUUGGCUGGUUGAUGUUUGA